rnacentral:rRNA from 2 species
ACGGUGGCCGCAGAGAAUAGGCCCAAGCGACUGUUUACCAAAAACAUAGGUUUCUGCUAAGUCGCAAGACGAUGUAUAGGAGCUGACGCCUGCCCGGUGCUGGAAGGUUAAGGGGAUCUGUUAGAGCAAUCGAAGCAGUGAACUUAAGCCCCAGUAAACGGCGGCCGUAACUAUAACGGUCCUAAGGUAGCGAAAUUCCUUGUCGGGUAAGUUCCGACCCGCACGAAAGGCGUAACGAUUUGGGCACUGUCUCA